rnacentral:rRNA from 1 species
UACGUAGGGUGCAAGCGUUGUCCGGAAUUAUUGGGCGUUAAAGAGCUACGUAGGCGGUCUGUCACGUCGGCUGUGAAAACCCGGGGCUCAACCCCGGGCCUGCAGUCGAUACGGGCAGGCUAGAGUUCGGUAGGGGAGACUGGAAUUCCUGGUGUAGCAGGUGAAAUGCGCAGAUAUCAGGAGGAACACCGGUGGCGAAGGCGGGUCUCUGGGCCGAUACUGACGCUGAGGAGCGAAAGCGUGGGGAGCGAACAGG